CAGCAGGCGCGAAAACUUUACAAUGCCGGCAACGGCGAUAAGGGAACCUCGAGUGCCAGGUUACAAAUCUGGCUGUCGUGAUGCCUAAAAAGCAUUGCAUAGCAAGGGCCGGGCAAGACCGGUGCCAGCCGUCGCGGUAACACCGGCGGCUCGAGUGGUAACCGUUAUUAUUGGGUCUAAAGGGUCUGUAGCCGGCCGGAUAAGUCUCUUGGGAAAUCUGGCAGCUUAACUGUCAGGCUUUCAGGAGAUACUGCCUGGCUCGAGGCCGGGAGAGGUGAGAGGUACUUCAGGGGUAGGGGUGAAAUCUUGUAAUCCUUGAAGGACCACCAGUGGCGAAGGCGUCUCACCAGAACGGACCUGACGGCAAGGGACGAAAGCUAGGGGCACGAACCGGAUUAGAUACCCGGGUAGUCCUAGCCGUAAACGAUACUCGCUAGGUGUCAGCCACGGUGCGACCGUGGUCGGUGCCGUAGGGAAGCCGUGAAGCGAGCCACCUGGGAAGUACGGCCGCAAGGCUGAAACUUAAAGGAAUUGGCGGGGGAGCAC
rnacentral:rRNA from 1 species